ensembl:antisense Gm12000 predicted gene 12000
UGAGCAGUGAGGCCUUCCUUAUAACCCCACCAUCCCUCGGGAUCUCUUUGCAUCUCCUGUCUUCUUCAUCUAACUCUCUUCUCUUCUUAUCUCUUUAUUUCUGUGUCUCCCUCUCUCCCCUCCUGACCCUCUUCCUUCUUGACUGUUUUUCUCUUCUUCUGAUUAAACAGGGACAAACAGGUUUCAUUCCCUUGAUUCAGACAGAAGGAUUCAACACAUCACCAACGUUAGAGAAGAGGCGAGAAAGAGGAGGCUGGGAGCCAGGUUUCAAGACUGCACAGGAAGGACCCCACUGCUCUGGGGACUGGGCAGGAAGCACACAUUCAAAACUUCUACACACCAUGGGAGUCUUCCUGGGAGGCCAGGAGCCUUUCCUCUUGCCACGAAGAGGCCAUUGCCACCAGGCUGGAACCUGGCUGGCUCCUGGGAGAAGCAUCCAACAGCCCUGGGCAGUUGCUGUCUCCAGAAGAGAAGACCGAGGCUGUGAGCAGAGUCAUGAAGCAAGGGUUGCCUGCCCAAGGCCACCACCAACAAAUAGCAGAGCUGAGCUCUGAACUUCCAGUCAUCAGAUGACAGUGUCUGCCUUUCCUACCCGCUCUAAGAACUCCAUAAACACACCACAGUGGAGGCAA